CACCGCCCGUCACACCAUGGGAGUCAGUUGCUCUAGAAGUCGGUGCGCCAACCUCGGAGGCAGCCGCCUAAAGAGUGACUGGUGACUGGGGUGAAGUCGUAACAAGGUACCC
rnacentral:rRNA from 1 species